rnacentral:lncRNA from 1 species
GCCGCGGCCGCACCACGUGACCUGUGCUAUAUAAGGCACGUCCUCCGGCCGCUCUCCCUUUUCCGCUCCCGCGGCCAUGAGGGUCCCGUGUCCCUCAGGGGCCCCGCCGUUCAACAUGUAUCAGCUAUGUUCUUCCUUCCUGUGGCUUCAGUGCAGAUCCGUCCCCAAAUGUGGAGACCUAAUACUACUUCCUUCCAAGGAUUUGAACCAUGCGCUUCAGAGGGAUGCAGAAGGAACAUCAUCACCUGGCACUGGGAGAUUGACCUAUAAGCUGUCACAAGGCUGCCCUUGA